CCUCAUUUAUGCAACUUUUAAAAGUGAUAAUAAUAUGCUUUGUUUUACCACUUAGGUACGCGACAUUCUACACAAACUUCCCGGUAUUUUCUCUUGUCUUGGACCGUGAUGUUUCUCCAAAUAUUGCUCUUACAUAUCCUGAGCUAUAUAAGGAUCUCACGAAAGGAAGAUCACUCUCUUAUAAAACAUUUUUUCAUAUGGUGUUAAUAAGUAUAUAUCAAGGUGGAGUUCUUAUGUAUGGAGCUAUGUUGCUUUUUGAAGAUGAGCUCAUUCAUGUUGUAAGCAUCAGCUUCACUUCACUGAUUUUAACAGAACUUCUCAUGGUGGGCCUAACUGUACGAACGUGGCAUCCUUUGAUGAUAGUAGCUCAUUUCCUCUCUCUUGGGUUCUACGCUUUGUCAAUCAUUUUUAUGCACUAUUUCGAUUGGGACUUCAUAAAAUCAAAGGACUCUUUUGGAAAGUAGUCGUGAUAACCCUUGUAUCAUGCCUUCCACUGUAUGUGCUAAAAUUCUUACGAAGAA